rnacentral:rRNA from 1 species
UGGCCCUAGCCCAAACUACCCAAACAUAAAAGAUCAACCCAGUCCCUAAAUCAAAACAUUCAAUUACUCUUAAAAGUAUAGGAGAUAGAAAUUAUCCACAGGCGCUAUAGAGACAGUACCGCAAGGGAAAGAUGAAAGAAUAAACCCUAGUACUAAAUAGCAAAGAUUCCCCCUUGUACCUUUCGCAUAAUGAGCUAACCAGAACAACUUUGACAAAGAGAACUUCAGCCAAAAACCCCGAAACCAGACGAGCUACUCACGGGCAGUCAAAAGGACAAACCCAUCUAUGUAGCAAAAUAGUGGGAAGACCUAUGAGUAGAAGUGAAAUGCCAACCGAGCCUGGUGAUAGCUGGUUGUCCAAUAUAGAAUCCUAGUUCAACUUUAAAUUUACCCAAAGAACACACCACUCUUAACGUAAAUUUAAAUGCUAGUCCAAAGGGGUACAGCUCUUUGGACACAGGACUCAACCCCUAACAGAGAGUAAGCCACAAGCCACCCAUUGUUGGCCUAAAAGCAGCCACCAAUUGAGAUAGCGUUCAAGCUCAAUAAACCUAUAUAUACCUAAUCCCUAUCAUUCACGUCGAACUCCUAACACCUAACUGGACCAAUCUAUAUUCAUAUAGAAGCAAUACUGUUAGUAUGAGUAACAAGAACCUUAUUCUCCCCGCACAAGUUUAUAUCAAACCGAAUACCUACUGAUAGUUAACAGUACAGUAUAAACCACCCAACUGGAACCUACUUACAUCUCCAACUGUUAAUCCAACACAGGUGUGCAUAAAGGAAAGAUUAAAAGAGACAGAAGGAACUCGGCAAC